GAUGAAGAACGCAGCGAAAUGCGAUACGUAAUGUGAAUUGCAGAAUUCAGUGAAUCAUCGAAUCUUUGAAUGCAUAUUGCGCUCUCUGGUAUUCCGGAGAGCAUGCUUGUUUGAGUAUCAGUAAACACCUCAACUUCCAUAUCUUUUUUGAAAUGGGAGUUGGACUUGAGUGAUCCCAACGCUUUUCCUCACCGAAAAGUGGCGGGUUACUUGAAAUGCAGGUGCAGCUGGACUUUUCUCUGAGCUAUAAGCAUAUCUAUUUAGUCUGCCUAAAAAACAGAUUAUUACCUUUGCUGCAGCUAACAUAAAGGAGAUUAGUUCUUGUGCUGACUGAUGCAGGAUUCACAAAGACGGCUUCGGCCGACUUUGUAAACUCGAUCUCAAAUCAAGUAAGACUACCCGCUGAACUUAAGCAUAUCAAUAAGCGGAGGA
rnacentral:misc_RNA from 1 species